UUUUAGCCCCGAUAGAAGUGGAAAUCCUUUUGUUUUUUCUUUAAAAAACAAAAGAUUGAAACGGAUAGCGGGAAUAGCU
rnacentral:sRNA from 1 species